rnacentral:rRNA from 1 species
UACGUAGGUGGCAAGCGUUGUCCGGAUUUAUUGGGUUUAAAGGGUGCGUCGGCGGCCCUGUAAGUCAGUGCUGAAAUACCCCGGCUUAACCGGGGGGGUGGCAUUGAUACUGCAGGGCUUGAGUACAGAUGAGGUAGGCGGAAUUGACGGUGUAGUGGUGGAAUGCGUAGAUAUCGGGAGGAACACCAGUGGCGAAGGCGGUUACCUGGAGCUUUGCUGACGCUGAUGCGCGAAAGCGUGGGGAGCGAUCCGG